AAUAGUAUGUGAUAAUACUAAUGUGGAAAGAAAAAAUUAGUUAAAGCUUAAAGAGAUGGUGAUAUAAAGUAACUAUAGUUAAGGUGGAUUAGAGCCCGGAAAACUCGGAAGUUAACCACAAUAUGUUCCUUAGAGUUAAGGGUGUGGGGCUGCUAUAUCAGGAGAGAAAGGAACGAUGGUGGAGGAGCCAUUACCAGAUUUUUAAAACCUUACUU